rnacentral:rRNA from 1 species
GACGAACGCUGGCGGCGUGCUUAACACAUGCAAGUCGAACGGAAAGGCCCUGCUUUUGUGGGGUGCUCGAGUGGCGAACGGGUGAGUAACACGUGAGUAACCUGCCCUUUACUUUGGGAUAACUUCAGGAAACUGGGGCUAAUACCGGAUAGGAGCUCCUGCUGCAUGGUGGGGGUUGGAAAGUUUCGGCGGUUGGGGAUGGACUCGCGGCUUAUCAGCUUGUUGGUGGGGUAGUGGCUUACCAAGGCUUUGACGGGUAGCCGGCCUGAGAGGGUGACCGGCCACAUUGGGACUGAGAUACGGCCCAGACUCCUACGGGAGGCAGAAGUGGGGAAUAUUGCACAAUGGGCGGAAGCCUGAUGCAGCAACGCCGCGUGCGGGAUGACGGCCUUCGGGUUGUAAACCGCUUUCGCCUGUGACGAAGCGUGAGUGACGGUAAUGGGUAAAGAAGCACCGGCUAACUACGUA